rnacentral:tRNA from 1 species
GCCUAGUUAGCUUAGUUGGUAGCGCGUCUGCCUUGUAAGCGCUAGGCCGCGGGUUCGAAUCCCACCCGGGGUG